CCUACGGGAGGCUGCAGUGGGGAAUAUUGCACAAUGGGGGAAACCCUGAUGCCGCGACGCCGCGUGAGUGAAGAAGUAAUUCGUUAUGUAAAGCUCUAUCAGCAGGGAAGCAAAUGACGGUACCUGAGUAAGAAGCCCCGGCUAUCUACGUGCCAGCAGCCGCGGUAAUACGUCGGGGGCAAGCGUUAUCCGGAUUUACUGGGUGUAAAGGGAGCGUAGACGGCAGUGCAAGUCUGGAGUGAAAGGCGGGGGCUCAACCCCCGGACUGCUCUGGAAACUGUACGGCUGGAGUGCAGGAGAGGGAAGUGGAAUGCGUAGUGUAGCGGUGAAAUGCGUAGAUAUUAGGAGGAACACCAGUGGCGAAGGCAGCUUACUGGACUGUAACUGACGUUGAGGCUCGAAAGCGUGGGGAGCGAACAGGAUUAGAUACCCUGGUAGUC
rnacentral:rRNA from 1 species